rnacentral:rRNA from 1 species
UGCUCAGGACGAACGCUGGCGGCGUGCCUAAUACAUGCAAGUCGAACGAACUCUGGUAUUGAUUGGUGCUUGCAUCAUGAUUUACAUUUGAGUGAGUGGCGAACUGGUGAGUAACACGUGGGAAACCUGCCCAGAAGCGGGGGAUAACACCUGGAAACAGAUGCUAAUACCGCAUAACAACUUGGACCGCAUGGUCCGAGYUUGAAAGAUGGCUUCGGCUAUCACUUUUGGAUGGUCCCGCGGCGUAUUAGCUAGAUGGUGGGGUAACGGCUCACCAUGGCAAUGAUACGUAGCCGACCUGAGAGGGUAAUCGGCCACAUUGGGACUGAGACACGGCCCAAACUCCUACGGGAGGCAGCAGUAGGGAAUCUUCCACAAUGGACGAAAGUCUGAUGGAGCAACGCCGCGUGAGUGAAGAAGGGUUUCGGCUCGUAAAACUCUGUUGUUAAAGAAGAACAUAUCUGAGAGUAACUGUUCAGGUAUUGACGGUAUUUAACCAGAAAGCCACGGCUAACUACGUGCCAGCAGCCGCGGUAAUACGUAGGUGGCAAGCGUUGUCCGGAUUUAUUGGGCGUAAAGCGAGCGCAGGCGGUUUUUUAAGUCUGAUGUGAAAGCCUUCGGCUCAACCGAAGAAGUGCAUCGGAAACUGGGAAACUUGAGUGCAGAAGAGGACAGUGGAACUCCAUGUGUAGCGGUGAAAUGCGUAGAUAUAUGGAAGAACACCAGUGGCGAAGGCGGCUGUCUGGUCUGUAACUGACGCUGAGGCUCGAAAGUAUGGGUAGCAAACAGGAUUAGAUACCCUGGUAGUCCAUACCGUAAACGAUGAAUGCUAAGUGUUGGAGGGUUUCCGCCCUUCAGUGCUGCAGCUAACGCAUUAAGCAUUCCGCCUGGGGAGUACGGCCGCAAGGCUGAAACUCAAAGGAAUUGACGGGGGCCCGCACAAGCGGUGGAGCAUGUGGUUUAAUUCGAAGCUACGCGAAGAACCUUACCAGGUCUUGACAUACUAUGCAAAUCUAAGAGAUUAGACGUUCCCUUCGGGGACAUGGAUACAGGUGGUGCAUGGUUGUCGUCAGCUCGUGUCGUGAGAUGUUGGGUUAAGUCCCGCAACGAGCGCAACCCUUAUUAUCAGUUGCCAGCAUUAAGUUGGGCACUCUGGUGAGACUGCCGGUGACAAACCGGAGGAAGGUGGGGAUGACGUCAAAUCAUCAUGCCCCUUAUGACCUGGGCUACACACGUGCUACAAUGGAUGGUACAACGAGUUGCGAACUCGCGAGAGUAAGCUAAUCUCUUAAAGCCAUUCUCAGUUCGGAUUGUAGGCUGCAACUCGCCUACAUGAAGUCGGAAUCGCUAGUAAUCGCGGAUCAGCAUGCCGCGGUGAAUACGUUCCCGGGCCUUGUACACACCGCCCGUCACACCAUGAGAGUUUGUAACACCCAAAGUCGGUGGGGUAACC